rnacentral:rRNA from 1 species
GACGAACGCUGGCGGCGUGCUUAACACAUGCAAGUCGAACGGGAACCCGGCUCUUGGGUUCGGUGAGUGAGGCGAAAGCGUGAGUAACACACGAGUAACCCGUCCCCUUCACUGGGGUAUCGUCCGGAAAACGGCGCUCUUAUACGAUAUUCUUGCUGCAUCGCCAGGUUCUGCUUGGAGAAGGCUCCUGGGGGGGGAUGGGCUCGCGGCCUAUCAGCUUGUUGGUGGGGUGAUGGCCUACCAAGGCGAUGACGGGUAGCCGGCCUGAGAGGGUGUCCGGCCACACUGGGACUGAGACACGGCCCAGACUCCUACGGGAGGCAGCAGUGGGGAAUAUUGCACAAUGGGCGCAAGCCUGAUGCAGCGACGCCGCGUGAGGGAUGACGGCCUUCGGGUUGUAAACCUCUUUCGGUAGGGAACAAGGAUGCGGGUUUUGUGCUGUGUGAGGGUACGUGCAGAAGAAGCACCGGCUAACUACGUG